rnacentral:rRNA from 1 species
ACGAACGCUGGCGGCACGCUUAACACAUGCAAGUCGAACGAGAGAAGAGGAGCUUGCUUUUCUGAUCUAGUGGCGGACGGGUGAGUAACACGUGAGCAAUCUGCCUUUCAGAGGGGGAUACCGAUUGGAAACGAUCGUUAAUACCGCAUAACAUAAUUGAACCGCAUGAUUUGAUUAUCAAAGAUUUAUCGCUGAAAGAUGAGCUCGCGUCUGAUUAGCUAGUUGGUAAGGUAACGGCUUACCAAGGCGACGAUCAGUAGCCGGACUGAGAGGUUGAUCGGCCACAUUGGGACUGAGACACGGCCCAGACUCCUACGGGAGGCAGCAGUGGGGAAUAUUGCACAAUGGAGGAAACUCUGAUGCAGCGAUGCCGCGUGAGGGAAGAAGGUUUUAGGAUUGUAAACCUCUGUCUUCAGGGACGAAAAAUGACGGUACCUGAGGAGGAAGCUCCGGCUAACUAGGUGCCAGCAGCCGCGGUAAUACGUAGGGAGCGAGCGUUGUCCGGAAUUACUGGGUGUAAAGGGAGCGUAGGCGGGAUCGCAAGUCAGAUGUGAAAACUAUGGGCUUAACCCAUAAACUGCAUUUGAAACUGUGGUUCUUGAGUGAAGUAGAGGUAAGCGGAAUUCCUAGUGUAGCGGUGAAAUGCGUAGAUAUUAGGAGGAACAUCAGUGGCGAAGGCGGCUUACUGGGCUUUAACUGACGCUGAGGCUCGAAAGCGUGGGGAGCAAACAGGAUUAGAUACCCUGGUAGUCCACGCCGUAAACGAUGAUUACUAGGUGUGGGGGGACUGACCCCUUCCGUGCCGCAGCAAACGCAAUAAGUAAUCCACCUGGGGAGUACGACCGCAAGGUUGAAACUCAAAGGAAUUGACGGGGGCCCGCACAAGCAGUGGAGUAUGUGGAUUAAUUCGAAGCAACGCGAAGAACCUUACCAGGUCUUGACAUCGUAUGCAUAGCUCAGAGAUGAGUGAAAUCUCUUCGGAGACAUAUAGACAGGUGGUGCAUGGUUGUCGUCAGCUCGUGUCGUGAGAUGUUGGGUUAAGUCCCGCAACGAGCGCAACCCUUACUGUUAGUUGCUACGCAAGAGCACUCUAGCAGGACUGCCGUUGACAAAACGGAGGAAGGUGGGGAUGACGUCAAAUCAUCAUGCCCCUUAUGACCUGGGCCUCACACGUACUACAAUGGCUGUCAACAGAGGGAAGCAAAGCCGCGAGGUGGAGCAAACCCCUAAAAGCAGUCUUAGUUCGGAUUGUAGGCUGCAACCCGCCUACAUGAAGUCGGAAUUGCUAGUAAUCGCAGAUCAGCAUGCUGCGGUGAAUACGUUCCCGGGCCUUGUACACACCGCCCGUCACGCCAUGGGAGUCGGUAACACCCGAAGCCUGUAGUCUAACCGCAAGGAGGACGCAGUCGAAGGUGGGAUUGAUGACUGGGGUG